GGGACACUGACGGGGACCAGAGGAAGGCAGGAGCAGAAGCAGAGAUAGGGCUUCUAAGCAUGUUUCUGAGAAGUCUGGGCAACUGGGAGAAAUGACAAGCGAAUUAUCAAAACUGAAAAGAACACAGAGUUAACGCUGGACUGACACUAAAAGCUCUAUUUCGAAGUCCUUCCCGCCUGGAGUCAGCACUGGUUCCAGAACUGCCGGGAGGCUGGGCCGGGUGGGGGAGCACGCGGGGCGCGGGUGGCGUGGGGCCAGGGCCGGAGUCCAGGCAGGGUCAAGGGCCUCGUUAGCCCAGCAGGAAGCUGACUCACAGUGGGGCCCAGACUCCAGAAAUCAUGAGUCACCCUCAAGGGCACCAGCACCACGGCAGUCACUUCUCUGGGAAGCUGGACCACGCGGGCCCGAACAAAUGUUUUGGAAUCCAGCGCUGCGCGCCGACACUGGAUCGCUCCUUCCUUCUGGUCUCUUACAGAUAAAAUAUACUGGACUACUAUUGACAGUCAAACAACACAGAUGAAUGUCCAAGGAUGUCAUGCUCAGAAGCCAGGGCCAUCAGGUACUUGAUCAUUCACUCUCUUCAUAUUCCUGUGAAUUACUUCCCUUCUUUGAAGUCUCAGACCCUGACCCUCUUCUCCUCGGAGGUUUAGGAUGACGUGUGUACCUCAUCCUCGCUGCCUGGGGAACCCGUGUCUAUGGCUUCUCCGUCUGUACCUAAUUAAACUUGGCUCUUUUCUCCAGUUUUCUGCUCAUGUCAAUUUGAUUCUUACACCAGCUGGAAGAACCUUGACGGGUAGACAAAUUUCUUCCUUCCUGACGGGAGGAGGCUUGACUGAAAGGACCAGGGAAAUGUCCUCUGCCUUGCUUUGGGUGGUGUUUAUACACCUGCUAAAGACUAGCAAAUUGAGUUAACUGCGCAUUUACUCUAUAUAUAAAAUACGCCUUUUAAUGUUGAAAAAAAUACCAGUGUACUAAAACAUUACCAGGAACAGGGGGUUCAGAUAAAAGCACGGCAAAGGUUAGUGGUCAUAUCUCUCAAACCCGACCUCAAUGGCACUUAUAAAGGAAAUAUUCCCAAUCUGGGCAGCACCAGAUGUAAUGGCUGCAGCAAUGCCUGAUAACGUAGUCACACUGCCUGCUAGAGUUCAGUCAUGUAUGAAAAAUCCCCAUAGAAAAACAACAGGACUUUCUACACUAAAUGAAAAGCACCUGCAUCUGGUUGUUGCUGCCCUAUCAGCAGGAAGCAGGACGGGUUUUAAUUGGCAUCUUCCAUAGUACUUUCUGGGGGAUGCUGGCUCUACCUGGGGGAGGGACUCCAGAGUGACUCUCUAGUCUCGCCCUUCUCCAGGGGACAGUCCUUGAGGGGUGCCUCAGCGUCCCCGUGGGGCAUUUCCACCCUCACACAAAUGCUGAUUCAUGCCUCAGGGCCUUGGUCAUGACUCCCAGCAAAGGUCAGUCAUUUCCGGUCAGGCAUGAGUCAGAGCCCUGGGCAGCAGGCAGGCAGCCUAUGGACCCGGCCCUGGCUGACAACCCAGGAGAGGGCCCCUGUGCGAGCUCCCUGCCCCGUCUAAGCCAGGGAAGGAGAAGAGGGCGUGUGGGGCACAGAAGCUCCUGCUCUAUCUCCUCCUUCUCUGUCAACUCGGCAGAAACUGCACAGAAUUGCUCAGGCCCAACCUCCCCGCCCUUCUCCUCUGACUAAGGAAGGGAGGCUCAGGCUAAAAAUAGACACAAAGAAGAAUGAAGGGAACUGGGAGUGACCGACUAGGCUUCAUUGCCUCCUAACCGGUGCUGGUGUUCUGGCGGACCCACCAAGGAGUUAAGGGGCACAGGACGCACAGCAACACGGUACCUGCUCACCUUUGCAAGGCACGUGAACAGCUGCAGAAAUGAGCACAAACCAAGCUGCCCCUGGAGGAGCCCCAGCACGGUGGGCGCUGGGUGCCUGACACACGGCGGUGGUGUGCACGUCCACCCGGUGUGCAUCCUGAGCCUCCCCGUGAACCUGCUUGUUAAAGAUGACAUUCUAAGGCCAUGGUGUUUUUAGAUUAUGGACAUCACAGUGGCACUUGUCAGCCGCCCCCCUCAACUGGCUCUGGGUCCACCAGGUUCUGUCCUCACCUGUGCUGUCCACGCUCCUUCUCACAAUCUUUGAAUAUAAUUUGCUGGUGAUCUGUGGGCAUGUUUGCCUACCCCACAGUCUGUCACUCAUUGAGGGCAGAGGCGUUUCUGCCUCAUGUGCAGCAGUAGGGCCGGCACACAGGUGUGUACGAUGGAUAUCUGCAUGCAUCUCGCCUUA